GGAGUGGUAGCUCAGUUGGUUAGAGCACCGGCCUGUCACGCCGGGGGUCGCGGGUUCGAGUCCCGUUCACUCCG
rnacentral:tRNA from 1 species